rnacentral:rRNA from 1 species
GACGAACGCUGGCGGCGUGCCUAAUACAUGCAAGUCGAACGAGAGCGACCGGUGCUUGCACUGGUCAAUCUAGUGGCGAACGGGUGAGUAACACGUGGGUAACCUGCCCAUCAGAGGGGGAUAACAUCCGGAAACGGAUGCUAAAACCGCAUAGGUCUUCGAACCGCAUGGUUUGAAGAGGAAAAGAGGCGCAAGCUUCUGCUGAUGGAUGGACCCGCGGUGCAUUAGCUAGUUGGUGAGGUAACGGCUCACCAAGGCCGCGAUGCAUAGCCGACCUGAGAGGGUGAUCGGCCACAUUGGGACUGAGACACGGCCCAAACUCCUACGGGAGGCAGCAGUAGGGAAUCUUCCGCAAUGGACGCAAGUCUGACGGAGCAACGCCGCGUGAGUGAAGAAGGUUUUCGGAUCGUAAAACUCUGUUGUUAGAGAAGAACAAGUGCUAGAGUAACUGUUAGCGACUUGACGGUAUCUAACCAGAAAGCCACGGCUAACUACGUG